rnacentral:rRNA from 1 species
GAUGAACGCUGGCGGCGUGCCUAAUACAUGCAAGUCGAGCGAACAGACGAGGAGCUUGCUCCUCUGACGUUAGCGGCGGACGGGUGAGUAACAAGUGGAUAACCUACCUAUAAGACUGGGAUAACUUCGGGAAACCGGAUCUAAUACCGGAUAAUAUAUUGAACCGCAUGGUUCAAUAGUGAAAGACGGUUUUGCUGUCACUAAUAGAUGGAUCCGCGCCGCAUUAGCUAGUUGGUAAGGUAACGGCUUACCAAGGCUACGAUGCGUAGCCGACCUGAGAGGGUGAUCGGCCACAAUGGAACUGAGACACGGUCCAGACUCCUACGGGAGGCAGCAGUAGGGAAUCUUCCGCAAUGGGCGAAAGCCUGACGGAGCACCGCCGCGUGAGUGAUGAAGGUCUUCGGAUCGUAAAACUCUGUUAUUAGGGAAGAACAAAUGUGUAAGUAACUAUGCACGUCUUGACGGUACCUAAUCAGAAAGCCACGGCUAACUACGUG